rnacentral:ribozyme from 13 species
AAAUGAAAAAUAAUAUUAAUCAACAAAAGAGGAUGAAGAGAGACAAAGGAAGCAAUGUUGCUCGUCGUUUCCAUACUUCUUUGUUUCUCAUUCCUCCACCGUUUGCUUU